rnacentral:lncRNA from 1 species
AUGUGCAGCCGUAGCAUCUCUCGAUUGUCUUCUCAGGACUCCAGAGAACCGUUGGGGGAACUUUGGGGUGUGCUCGGAAAAUGCAGGGUGCGCACCGAGGGCGAGGGACUAGCUGGGAAGGGUGUGCCUGUGCUUGGGGAUGGGAGCAGGAAGUGUCUGGGACCUCGUCGCCCCCCGCGGCGGUGUAUAAACCCGGGCGGGCCGUCAGAGCGGAGCUUCAGAGCAGAGACAAGAGCCCAGAAAGGAGCAGAUGCUAGAUUUGCAAGAUCAGAAGCAGGUCUUGAUCCUCCUGCCCAGAAUGAACCAGACUUGAUGAUGCCACCUUCAGGAGCCACCACACUGUGUGACAGUGGGGCAUUUGGGCCGUCCCUGGGAAGUACAGCUGAACCACAGUCCUCUGUACUCGCCCAGGAGCCACAGAGAGUGAACAUCCCUCAGGGAUGCUAG